rnacentral:ncRNA from 1 species
ACAGAGGUUGCGGUAAUCAAGAGUAACUUUGCUGAGACGGAGAAACGUCAGUGAAGCGAAGCGAAAGGGUGCACCGCCGAAGCGUCACCUGGUUUCUCCUGGGUGGGGCUGGGCGUCCGGUUAAGAGCCGGACGACUGUCGCGGGUGACCGCGGAGCGCUAUCG